CAAUUCAUUAUGCUGGUAAAUAUAUAUUUAUAUCAUUACAAUGUUUCAGUUUAAAUCAUUUUUUUAUGAAAUUGUAAAUGACAUUUUUCUACCUAUAUAUUUUUUAGGUUACUACUUCAACCCAAAAUUUUUCUAUUUGACACCUGAACAACCCCACAAGAUUAUGGAAGGGGUCAGAUACAUUAUUGCAAGGUUGGAGAGAAGCCAUCGAAACCAAGUAGCAGCAAUACAAGAGGUAUUAUUUAAUGUUUGGGUAAGAACUUCAUUGAGUUGUUAUAUUUGUGAGGAAUAAUGCACUAAAACGUAAUAUAUUUGUUUUAACUUGCUAUGUAUAGGGAUGCUAUAGG
rnacentral:lncRNA from 1 species